rnacentral:rRNA from 1 species
AUACGUAGGGUGCGAGCGUUGUCCGGAAUUACUGGGCGUAAAGAGCUCGUAGGUGGUUUGUCGCGUCGUCUGUGAAAUUCCGGGGCUUAACUCCGGGCGUGCAGGCGAUACGGGCAUAACUUGAGUACUGUAGGGGAGACUGGAAUUCCUGGUGUAGCGGUGAAAUGCGCAGAUAUCAGGGGGAACACCGGUGGCGAGGGCGGGUCUCUGGGCAGUAACUGACUCUGAGAACCGAAAGCAUGGGUAGCGAACAGGAUUAGAUACCCUGGUAGUCCAUGCCGUAAACGGUGGGCGCUAGGUGUAGGGGUCUUCCACGACUUCUGUGCCGUAGCUAACGCAUUAAGCGCCCCGCCUGGGGAGUUCGGCCGCAAGGCUAAAACUCAAAUGAAUUGACGGGG